CAGAAGCUUGCGAAAACACUGGAUCUUGAAUGGAAAAGAGGGGAUUUUUUGGUUGACAAGUAAUUUCAUUGACCGAUAAAAGACUUUGUAGACAGAAAUGGAAAGUGCAAUUCAGGAUGAAGCCGUGACAGAAAGUGCACAGACCAGUCCGCUCCGUGCCGCAAGGAAAACGCGGUUCGACAACUUGAUACUGAAAUGGAACAAGCUUUUGUCCAUUUUUUGCAUGGUGUCAAUCUUUGUCGAUCCAUUGUUUUUCCUCACUGUUCAUGUGAACAUGGAAAACAAAUGUUUUUCUAUCAACGAGACAAUGGCAAAAGCGCUCGUUGUAAUUAGAAACAUAACCGACUGUGUUUAUUUAUUAAACAUUCUUCUUCAG